AUGAACGCUGGCGGCGUGCCUAAUACAUGCAAGUCGAGCGAACGGACGAGAAGCUUGCUUCUCUGAUGUUAGCGGCGGACGGGUGAGUAACACGUGGAUAACCUACCUAUAAGACUGGGAUAACUUCGGGAAACCGGAGUUAAUACCGGAUAAUAUUUUGAACCGCAUGGUUCAAAAGUGAAAGACGGUCUUGCUGUCACUUAUAGAUGGAUCCGCGCUGCAUUAGCUAGUUGGUAAGGUAACGGCUUACCAAGGCAACGAUGCAUAGCCGACCUGAGAGGGUGAUCGGCCACACUGGAACUGAGACACGGUCCAGACUCCUACGAGAGGCAGCAGUAGGGAAUCUUCCGCAAUGGGCGAAAGCCUGACGGAGCAACGCCGCGUGAGUGAUGAAGGUCUUCGGAUCGUAAAACUCUGUUAUUAGGGAAGAACAUAUGUGUAAGUAACUGUGCACAUCUUGACGGUACCUAAUCAGAAAGCCACGGCUAACUACGUG
rnacentral:rRNA from 1 species